ACAGCAGCCGCCACGGUAAUACGAAGGGGGCUAGCGUUGCUCGGAAUUACUGGGCGUAAAGGGAGCGUAGGCGGACAUUUAAGUCAGGGGUGAAAUCCCAGAGCUCAACCCCGGAACUGCAUCCGAUACUGCCGUGCUAGAGGACUGGAGAGGCAACUGGAAUUCUCGGUGUAGCAGUGAAAUGCGUGGAGAUCGAGAGGAACACUCGUGGCGAAAGCGAGUUGCUGGACAGUAUCUGACGCUGAGGCUCGAAGGCCAGGGUAGCGAAAGGGAUUAGAUACCCGCGUAGUCCCUGUCUCUUAUAC
rnacentral:rRNA from 1 species